rnacentral:rRNA from 1 species
AUCUACGACCAUGCCACCCUGAAUAAGUACGAUGUCCGAUCUUGGAAGCUAAGCAGGGUCGGGCCUGGUUAAUACUUGGAUGGGAGACCACCUAGGAAGACCAGGUGCUAUAGGCA